rnacentral:lncRNA from 1 species
CAGGCAUCUAUCGGUGGGGGCCCCCUCAUCUACCCCUUCCCCACUCCACAAAGAAAUUUAGUUUAAGCUAGCUUGCAACAUAGAUAAUUGUACCCUUAUCAGCUAAGUGCAGCCACUAGAGCCGUAAGUCAAAUGUUUGAAAAAUCCUGAGAGUCAUAAUGCAUCGUGUGCUGCAAUAAAAUGCAGCAGAAAGACCCUAAAUAAUGUACUUGAAGAACAAUCAAUAGGUGAUGUCUAGGAAGAUUGUGGAAGGCUAGUACUCAGCCUAUGAGGAACUGAGGGAGGGACCUGUGCACUAGGGCGUAAAUUGCUUGUUGAAACUGUGCUGGGUGUGCCUGCAUGCCAGACACACGAUCUUGCAAGACCGUCAUUAAAAGUCUCACUUUCGCUGUUCUCUGGGUCUCUGAGUUCAUUGUUUGGGUUUAGACGGGUGAAUUUGUUUCUCACAAAUUUGAUUGGAUUGAAGGAUGAAAGUAUUGAUCCUGGGCGUAUCUGUGAGGGUGUUGCCAAAGGAGAUUAACAUUUGAGUCAAUGGGCUGGGGAAAGCAGACCCACCCUAAAUCUGGUGGGCACAAUAUAAUCCACUGCCCAUGAAUAUAAAGCAGGCAGAAAAACAUGAAAAGGCAAGACUGGCCUAUCCUGCCAGCCUACAUCUUUCUCCUGUGCUGGAUGCUUCCUGCCCUGGAACAUCAGACUCCAAGUUCUUCAGUUUUGAGACUUGAACUGACUUUCCUGCUCCUUAAGCUUGCAGACAGCCUAUUGCGGGACAUUGUGAUUGUGUAAGUUAAUACUUAAUAAACUCCUGGCUGGGUGUGGUGGUUCACACCUGUAAUCCCAGCUCUCAGAGACGCAGAGGCGGGAGGAUAGCUUGAGCCCAGGAGUUGGAGACCUGCCUGGGCAAUAUAGCAAGACCCUGUUUUCCACAAAAAGUAAGAAAAAAAAAGACAAAAAAAAAGUAAGUGUAAUACUUAAUAAACUCCUUUGUAUAUCUAUCCUAUUAAUUCUGUCUCUCUAGAGAACCCUGAC